UUUAUAUUACUAUAGUUGUUAUAUUACCACAGCAAUAGCCUAGAAUUACCACAACAAAUUAAUUCAAGUAUGGUUCAAAAACACUAUAGUAUUUAGGGCUACUAUAAAUUACUACGGUAUUUUUUCACCUCUUCACCUUUUUCACCUCAAAUAGUUUCUUAAGGCUAGAUCAGAGCCAUAGAGAGAGAGAGUUACAGCAGAACAGACCGUUUGUGAUGUACUUUUAAAAGCACAAAGGGGAUUCAGAUCCUGAAGACUCCAUGCAAUGAUGCUGUCACCGCCAGUCUCUGCUCCUUGGAUUUUGCAAGCUUUUCCUUGCUCCUUAUUUUUAAUAAACCUUUAAUAAACAUAAAA